UACGGAGGAUCCAAGCGUUAUCCGGAAUUAUUGGGCGUAAAGAGCUCGUAGGCGGCUUGUCACGUCGGAUGUGAAAGCCCGGGGCUUAACCCCGGGUCUGCAUUCGAUACGGGCAGGCUAGAGUGUGGUAGGGGAGAUCGGAAUUCCUGGUGUAGCGGUGAAAUGCGCAGAUAUCAGGAGGAACACCGGUGGCGAAGGCGGAUCUCUGGGCCAUUACUGACGCUGAGGAGCGAAAGCGUGGGGAGCGAACAGG
rnacentral:rRNA from 1 species